UUAAAUUGAAGAGUUUGAUCAUGGCUCAGAUUGAACGCUGGCGGCAGGCCUAACACAUGCAAGUCGAACGGUAACAGGAAGCAGCUUGCUGCUUUGCUGACGAGUGGCGGACGGGUGAGUAAUGUCUGGGAAACUGCCUGAUGGAGGGGGAUAACUACUGGAAACGGUGGCUAAUACCGCAUAACGUCGCAAGACCAAAGAGGGGGACCUUCGGGCCUCUUGCCAUCAGAUGUGCCCAGAUGGGAUUAGCUUGUUGGUGAGGUAACGGCUCACCAAGGCGACGAUCCCUAGCUGGUCUGAGAGGAUGACCAGCCACACUGGAACUGAGACACGGUCCAGACUCCUACGGGAGGCAGCAGUGGGGAAUAUUGCACAAUGGGCGCAAGCCUGAUGCAGCCAUGCCGCGUGUAUGAAGAAGGCCUUCGGGUUGUAAAGUACUUUCAGCGGGGAGGAAGGUGUUGUGGUUAAUAACCGCAGCAAUUGACGUUACCCGCAGAAGAAGCACCGGCUAACUCCGUGCCAGCAGCCGCGGUAAUACGGAGGGUGCAAGCGUUAAUCGGAAUUACUGGGCGUAAAGCGCACGCAGGCGGUCUGUCAAGUCGGAUGUGAAAUCCCCGGGCUCAACCUGGGAACUGCAUUCGAAACUGGCAGGCUUGAGUCUUGUAGAGGGGGGUAGAAUUCCAGGUGUAGCGGUGAAAUGCGUAGAGAUCUGGAGGAAUACCGGUGGCGAAGGCGGCCCCCUGGACAAAGACUGACGCUCAGGUGCGAAAGCGUGGGGAGCAAACAGGAUUAGAUACCCUGGUAGUCCACGCCGUAAACGAUGUCUACUUGGAGGUUGUGCCCUUGAGGCGUGGCUUCCGGAGCUAACGCGUUAAGUAGACCGCCUGGGGAGUACGGCCGCAAGGUUAAAACUCAAAUGAAUUGACGGGGGCCCGCACAAGCGGUGGAGCAUGUGGUUUAAUUCGAUGCAACGCGAAGAACCUUACCUGGUCUUGACAUCCACGGAACUUUCCAGAGAUGGAUUGGUGCCUUCGGGAACCGUGAGACAGGUGCUGCAUGGCUGUCGUCAGCUCGUGUUGUGAAAUGUUGGGUUAAGUCCCGCAACGAGCGCAACCCUUAUCCUUUGUUGCCAGCGGUCCGGCCGGGAACUCAAAGGAGACUGCCAGUGAUAAACUGGAGGAAGGUGGGGAUGACGUCAAGUCAUCAUGGCCCUUACGACCAGGGCUACACACGUGCUACAAUGGCGCAUACAAAGAGAAGCGACCUCGCGAGAGCAAGCGGACCUCAUAAAGUGCGUCGUAGUCCGGAUUGGAGUCUGCAACUCGACUCCAUGAAGUCGGAAUCGCUAGUAAUCGUGGAUCAGAAUGCCACGGUGAAUACGUUCCCGGGCCUUGUACACACCGCCCGUCACACCAUGGGAGUGGGUUGCAAAAGAAGUAGGUAGCUUAACCUUCGGGAGGGCGCUUACCACUUUGUGAUUCAUGACUGGGGUGAAGUCGUAACAAGGUAACCGUAGGGGAACCUGCGGUUGGAUCACCUCCUUACCUGAAAGAAGC
rnacentral:rRNA from 8 species